AGAUAGUUUAAAGACCUCCUGUGCUAAUAGAUAGCGAAUUCUCCUGAAGAAGCUAACGCGAAACGUGCGUAGAGGACCACGCCAGGCAGUGACAGCUCACUCACACACAGCGGGAUAUCAGCACAGCCUGGAGCCCGACUACUGCACGGUGGUAGAAAUUACAGCCCAGGAGGCUCCAUAGUGAAGGGUUGUCAGAGGAGGACACGCCCGCCCCCAGGUUUCUACAAUAUAGGAUCCGUUCAGUGGAGAUCUUCUAUAUAAGACUCUUCUCCUGAUUGACCCAUGAAAGAUGGACAGGGACAAGAUGGCGGAGAGGAUAAUAAAUCUCACCCUAGAGAUCCUCUUCCGGCUUACUGGAGAGGACUACACAGUAGUGAAGAAGACGUCUAAUGAGCGCUGUCAGGACCCUGUGUCUGAAGGAUGGGGAAGAACCAUUAGCCCAAUCAUGGAGCCUCCACCUCACCCCCUGAUGUAUGAGGAAAUCAAUACAGAGAAGAUCCUAGAACUUACCAACAAGAUGA